AGUGAACGCUGGCGGCGUGCUUAACACAUGCAAGUCGAGCGAAUUUCAGCAGCGUAUCGCUGAAGUUAGCGGCAGACGGGUGAGUAAUACUUGGGCAAUCUGCCCUCGAGAGGGAACAACCUGCCGAAAGGUGGGCUAAUGUCCCGUAAGACCACAGGAUGGCAUCAUCUAGGGGUCAAAGCUCCGCAAGGGGCGCUUGAGGAGGAGCCUGAGGCCAUCAUGGUAGUUGGCGGGGUAACGG
rnacentral:rRNA from 1 species